rnacentral:rRNA from 1 species
AGCGAACGCUGGCGGCAGGCCUAACACAUGCAAGUCGAACGAACCUUUCGGGGUUAGUGGCGGACGGGUGAGUAACACGUGGGAACGUGCCUUUAGGUUCGGAAUAACUCAGGGAAACUUGUGCUAAUACCGAAUGUGCCCUUCGGGGGAAAGAUUAAUCGCCUUUAGAGCGGCCCGCGUCUGAUUAGCUAGUUGGUUGAGGUAAUGGCUCACCAAGGCGACGAUCAGUAGCUGGUCUGAGAGGAUGAUCAGCCACAUUGGGACUGAGACACGGCCCAAACUCCUACGGGAGGCAGCAGUGGGGAAUCUUGCGCAAUGGGCGAAAGCCUGACGCAGCCAUGCCGCGUGAAUGAUGAAGGUCUUAGGAUUGUAAAAUUCUUUCACCGGGGUCGAUAAUGACGGUACCCGGAGAAGAAGCCCCGGCUAACUUCGUG